rnacentral:lncRNA from 1 species
GAGGCUGGGAGGGCCAUCUGACCACAAUGCAGGUCUGUUGCGGACCUCAAGGAGCCUGCAGGGAGUGCAGCCACCUCAGGCACACACCUUGGUGAUAGAUUUUACUGCUCAGCUGCUGAAGCCAUUGGUCAAUGAUGCUCCUCACAGUCAGAGAUCUGAGAGGGGCAUUUUCACAGCCACCACAGACCUUCUGCCUCCCAGGGCCUCCUCACUGGCCUGGCCUGGAGGACUGCCACUGGCACCCACAGUUAGAGGGAAGGAAGUUUCAGGCCUCUGUAACCCAGGAGAGAAGUCCACUAGUCCAGUCCAGGCCAGGUGUCCAGCUCUGGUGGGUGGAACCAUUUGCCCAGCUGUCCUUUGGCUGAGGGUUGGGGCCUGACCUCUGAAGUGAAGGCACCCACAGAGCUGGCCAUUGAGGCAAAUGUCCAGAAUCCUGGGGCAUGGGCACCGGCAGGGGAGAUGAGGUCAUGUGAGAUGUAGGUGCCACUCUCUUGCAGAACCCACCCUCGCACCUUGGCACACAGUGGCUCCACGAGGCCAAGAGCUGGUCUCUUGUUUAUCUGGGUGUAGGGCGUGCACACUGCCUGGAACUGACAGUGUCAGGGACUUCUGCUGGCCAGGACAGACCCCAUGCCUACUCAAUGGCCAUCAGCCCUAGGGCAGCAACAUCAGGAUCUGUCUUCCCCAUUGGUCAGGGGGCUUGUGGUAGGUUCAAACCACUGAUGGCAAGCAGUCCAGGCUCUAGUGUUGGUUUGGGGUCUGGCUCUCUCACUAACCUGAGCAAGUCCCUUACAUCCCCAGGGCUCAGUUUCCUUAUCUGUUGAGUAGAGAUCAUCACACUGAUGGCGAAGAGGCCUUGUGGUAUGGAGGGUUUGGGUUCAACUUUUUUUUUUUUGAGCUGAUUUGAAUCCCAUUUCCCUGGUUAUUUGCUAUAUGGCCUUAGGCAAGUUACUCAAUCUCUUGAAGACUCAAUUUCCCAUCUACAAAAUGGGAGUGAAGAAGAAUCUCUUCUUCUUUCCAAGAAAUGUACAUGUGAGGAUUCAAUAAGGGAACGCUCAGGCAGCUCUGAGCACAGCAUCUGGAGCGUCACUGCGAUGUGGCAGCACGCUCUGCAGCAUGCAGGACAGACACACUCCUUCCUCUCUCCUCCUUCACCUCUUCCCCAGCCCCACCCCUCACAUCUCCUUGGCUAAUGGGUCAAGCAGUGGUCAGUGUCUGGCCAACAGUGGAGACUCAACCAUGCACAGAGAGUGAAAAUGCAGUGCGCACCUCCUGUCCAGGUAGCCCCAACCUCAUUCAUUCACUUCCAGAAUGGCAGGUGCUGUGCUGAAUGCCUGGGAAGAUGGCCCCAAUGUUCCUCCCCAAGGGAUUGCCAGUCACAUCAGCACAGCACGGGAUGGAUCCUGCUGUGCCAACACUCUCUGCAGGCUUGUGGGGACCCUGGCUGAGAUGUCUGGACACCUGGAUUUCAAUCCGGUCUUUGCCAUCCACUCCCUGUGUGGCCCUCCCCCGCAAACUAAAUAAAAAUUUCAUGAGUUGGGGAAGGAGACUCAAGGGGAAGUGAGACGAGAGGACGGAAGUGAGUUGAAGAGCAGGGAGGAGCCUGGAGCCUGGAGCCUGGGCCUCCCUGUGCUGUGAUGUGUGCCAGAGUGGAAGCGGAAGUGGAAGCAGAAGCAGAAGUGGUCCUGCCGGUAGGUGUGACUGGCCUCACAGAGCUGCCAGGAUGCACCUGAGUGCUCAAGAGGGUUUCCCACAGCCCCAGGUGGAUUGGACUCAGAAGCAUGUUUCUGAUGUGCUCAAGAGUGUGGCCCAGACAAGGCACAGAGGACAGGAGUGUCAGAGGCAUUCAAACAAGAGCGACUCCAUCCUGAACGGGGGCUGGGUAAAAUGACGCUGAGGCCUGCCAGGUUGCAUUCCCAGGAGGUUAGGCAUUCUUAAGUCACUGGAUGAGAUAGGAGAGGGGCACAAGAUACUGGUUACAAAGACCCUGCUGAUAAAACAGGUUGCAGUAAAGAAGCUCGCCCAAACCAAAAUGGCAAUGAAAGUAACCUCUGGUCAUCCUCACUGCUCAUUACACGCUAAUUAUAAUGCAUUAGGAUGCUGAAAGACACUCCCACCAGCCCCAUGACAGUUUACAAACGCCAUAGCAACAUCUGGAAGUUACUCUAUAUGACUUAAAAGGAAAAGGAACUCUCAGUUCUGGGAAAUUCCCACCCCUUUCCUGGAAAAUUCAUGAAUAAACCACUCCUUGUUUAGCAUAUGAUCAAGAAAUAACCAUAAAAGUAGCCAACCAGCAGCCCUUCGUGCUGCUCUGCCUGUAGAGUAGCCGUUGUUUUAUUCCUUUACUUUCUUCAUAAACUUGCUUCUGCUUU